CCUACGGGGUGCAGCAGUGAAGAAUAUUGGUCAAUGGGCGGAAGCCUGAACCAGCCAAGUAGCGUGCAGGAUGACGGCCCUACGGGUUGUAAACUGCUUUUAUACGGGAAUAACGCGCCUUACGUGUAGGGCUUUGCAUGUACCGUAUGAAUAAGGACCGGCUAAUUCCGUGCCAGCAGCCGCGGUAAUACGGAAGGUCCGGGCGUUAUCCGGAUUUAUUGGGUUUAAAGGGAGCGUAGGCCGCAUGUCAAGCGUGCUGUGAAAUGUCCGGGCUCAACCCGGGCCUUGCAGCGCGAACUGGCGUGCUUGAGUCCGCGGAAAGCAGGCGGAAUUCGUCGUGUAGCGGUGAAAUGCUUAGAUAUGACGAAGAACCCCGAUUGCGAAGGCAGCUUACUGCAGCGGAACUGACGCUGAUGCUCGAAAGCGCGGGUAUCGAACAGGAUUAGAUACCCGAGUAGUC
rnacentral:rRNA from 1 species